rnacentral:pre_miRNA from 1 species
GUAGUAUUCCCUCCGUCCCAAAAUUCUUGUCUUACAUUUGUUUAGAUACGGAUGUAUCUAACACUAAAAUAUAACUAGAUACAUCCGUAUUUAGACAAAUUUAAGACAAGAAUUUUGGGACGGAGGGAGUACAAA